GAUGAACGCUGACAGAAUGCUUAACACAUCAGCAAUUGAUUGGUGGCGGACGGGUGAGUAACGCGUAAAGAACUUGACUUACAGCUAGGGACAACAUUUGGAAACGAAAGCUAAUACCUAAUACUGUGAGAGAGCUUUGCGUCACACUAGCUAGUUGGAGAGGUAACCGCUCACCAAGGCGAUGAUGGGUAGCCGGCCUGUGAGGGUGAUCGGCCACAAGGAGACAAGGACACGGCCCUUACGGCAUCGGGAGGAAGCGGUGGGGAAUUUUGGCCAAUGGACCAAAGUCUGAUCCAGCAGUUCUGUGUGCAGAAUGAAGUUUUCGGCAUGUAAAGUGCUUUCAGUUGGGAAGCGGUACCAACAGAAGAAGUGACGGCUAAGUACGUGCCAGCAGCCGCGGUAAUAC
rnacentral:rRNA from 1 species